AGUCGAACGGCAGCGCGGGGCAACCUGGCGGCGAGUGGCGAACGGGUGAGUAAUAUAUCGGAACGUACCCAAGAGUGGGGGAUAACGUAGCGAAAGUUACGCUAAUACCGCAUACGAUCUAAGGAUGAAAGUGGGGGAUUCGCAAGAACCUCAUGCUCCUGGAGCGGCCGAUAUCUGAUUAGCUAGUUGGUGAGGUAAAGGCUCACCAAGGCGACGAUCAGUAGCUGGUCUGAGAGGACGACCAGCCACACUGGAACUGAGACACGGUCCAGACUCCUACGGGAGGCAGCAGUGGGGAAUUUUGGACAAUGGGCGCAAGCCUGAUCCAGCAAUGCCGCGUGAGUGAAGAAGGCCUUCGGGUUGUAAAGCUCUUUUGUCAGGGAAGAAACGGCUGAGGAUAAUACCCUCGGCUAAUGACGGUACCUGAAGAAUAAGCACCGGCUAACUACGUGCCAGCAGCCGCGGUAAUACGUAGGGUGCAAGCGUUAAUCGGAAUUACUGGGCGUAAAGCGUGCGCAGGCGGUUUUGUAAGUCUGUCGUGAAAGCCCCGGGCUCAACCUGGGAAUUGCGAUGGAGACUGCAAGGCUUGAAUCUGGCAGAGGGGGGUAGAAUUCCACGUGUAGCAGUGAAAUGCGUAGAGAUGUGGAGGAACACCGAUGGCGAAGGCAGCCCCCUGGGUCAAGAUUGACGCUCAUGCACGAAAGCGUGGGGAGCAAACAGGAUUAGAUACCCUGGUAGUCCACGCCCUAAACGACGUCUACUAGUUGUCGGGUCUUAAUUGACUUGGUAACGCAGCUAACGCGUGAAGUAGACCGCCUGGGGAGUACGGUCGCAAGAUUAAAACUCAAAGGAAUUGAC
rnacentral:rRNA from 1 species